UGAGGAAUAUUGGUCAAUGGGCGAGAGCCUGAACCAGCCAAGUAGCGUGCAGGAUGACGGCCCUAUGGGUUGUAAACUGCUUUUACGCGGGGAUAAAGUGCGUGACGUGUCGCGCAUCGCAGGUACCGCGUGAAUAAGGACCGGCUAAUUCCGUGCCAGCAGCCGCGGUAAUACGGAAGGUCCGGGCGUUAUCCGGAUUUAUUGGGUUUAAAGGGAGCGCAGGCCGCCCGAUAAGCGUGUUGUGAAAUGUACCGGCUCAACCGGUGAGUUGCAGCGCGAACUGUCAGGCUUGAGUGCACGGUAAGCAGGCGGAAUUCAUGGUGUAGCGGUGAAAUGCUUAGAUAUCAUGAGGAACUCCGAUUGCGAAGGCAGCUUGCUGCAGUGCGAAUGACGCUUAGGAUCGAAGGUGCGGGUAUCAAACAGG
rnacentral:rRNA from 1 species